UGGCGACCGGCGCACGGUGCGUAACGCGUAUGCAACCUACCUUUAACAGGGGAGUAACACUGAGAAAUUGGUACUAAUACCCCAUAAUAUCAUAGAAGGCAUCUUUUAUGGUUGAAAAUUCCGAUGGUUAGAGAUGGGCAUGCGUUGUAUUAGCUAGUUGGUGGGGUAACGGCUCACCAAGGCGACGAUACAUAGGGGGACUGAGAGGUUAACCCCCCACAUUGGUACUGAGACACGGACCAA
rnacentral:rRNA from 1 species